rnacentral:rRNA from 1 species
AGCGAACGCUGGCGGCAGGCCUAACACAUGCAAGUCGAACGGACCCUUCGGGGUUAGUGGCGGACGGGUGAGUAACACGUGGGAACGUGCCUUUAGGUUCGGAAUAGCUCCUGGAAACGGGUGGUAAUGCCGGAUGUGCCCUUCGGGGGAAAGAAUUAUCGCCUUUAGAGCGGCCCGCGUCUGAUUAGCUAGUUGGUGAGGUAAUGGCUCACCAAGGCGACGAUCAGUAGCUGGUCUGAGAGGAUGGCCAGCCACAUUGGGACUGAGACACGGCCCAAACUCCUACGGGAGGCAGCAGUGGGGAAUCUUGCGCAAUGGGCGAAAGCCUGACGCAGCCAUGCCGCGUGGAUGAUGAAGGUCUUAGGAUUGUAAAAUCCUUUCACCGGUGAAGAUAAUGACUGUAGCCGGAGAAGAAGCCCCGGCUAACUUCGUGCCAGCAGCCGCGGUAACAC